rnacentral:sRNA from 1 species
GAUGUUAAGCGUGAAGGAUAACGUUGCGUCAGCAACGGCCCGAAGGGCGAGGCGAAGCCGAGUCAUCCUGCACGACCCACCA